AGAAGGAACAAGAAGUCUUGUGUCUGGCUGGGCUUAUGUCGGCAAGACCUCUUAGGUGGCCCCAGUAGUGGGCAAAGUGGGCAGCUGCACCCAUGUUCUCCCGCAGGUGCCUGGAUUCGACCUUGAACAGAGACCCCAACUGCCCAGCCUGUCCACUACCUGUCUCAGGAUGGGCAGUGCAGAGUGGAUGACACGGGACACUGUGGCCCGACGUGUACAUAGCCUGGCGGGGUGCCUGGUGGGCCCAGGCCCUGGAGGAGCUUGGCCAUGGCUGUGGAGCCCUGCUGUCCCAGCUCCUAUCUCUCUGGAGUCCCAUUGGAGGCUGUUAGUCCAGGUUCUCUGAAGAAGCAGAAGCAACAGGACACGCACACAGCUGAUGUAUUGGAGGAGCCGGCUCGUGAGGUCCCCACACCCGCGCCUGACAAGCUGGAGCCCAGGGGAGGGACAGCACGGCUCCCACAAAGUAUCAGGAGACUGGAGACCCGCAGAGGCUGGUGGUGAGCACUGUGUGCAUGCCAUGUUGAAACCGGAGCCCAGUGCGAUGGCAUAGGAGGUGGGGCCUCUGGGAGGGGACCUGGUCAUGAGGGUGGAGCAGGGACCUGACAAGAAGAGACAGGAGGCUCUCUGCCCACUCGGGGGAGGCUGGGUAGGGGCUGCUCUCUCCCUGGGGCUCUCUCUCUCUCUCCCCUCCCUCCACCCCGGCUUCUGUUGAAGGCUCUAGCUUUCUCCUCAGAGGCUGGCUUGCCCCUCCACCAGCGCUGCCCCCAACUUGAGCAAGACCCCAGGAAACUCCCAGUUGGCUCUGUUGACCCCAUUCGAUCGGGCAGCGAAUUAGGUCUUGGUGUCUCCAUGCCCACGCAAGGCAUUUGAAGGCCGCCUCUCUUUAGAGAGCAAUGGGGGGGUCUACCUGGUCGAAUGGUGUCCCCCAAAUUCCUGUCCACUUGGGACCUCAUAAUGUGACCUUUGGAAGUUGUCUCUGGGAUGUAAUUAGUCAGGACAAAGUGACACUGCAUCAGAUGGACCCUAAAUCCAACAACCGGUGUCCUUGAGAGGAGAGGACAGAGACAGCUGCAGAGUGGCCACAAAGAGAGGUCGGCAAAGGUUAGUGUGACCUCGAACCACCAGGAAGGUGCGAGGAGGGGCCUUCCCAGGAGCCUUGGGAGGGAACACGGCCCAGCCAGUUCCCCGAUCUCAGACUUCCGGCCCCCAGAACUGCGAGAACGUGUG